rnacentral:rRNA from 1 species
AACGAACGCUGGCGGCAUGCCUAACACAUGCAAGUCGAACGAGAUCUUCGGGUCUAGUGGCGCACGGGUGCGUAACGCGUGGGAAUCUGCCCUUUGGUUCGGAUUAACAGUUGGAAACGACUGCUAAUACCGGAUGAUGACGAAAGUCCAAAGAUUUAUCGCCAGAGGAUGAGCCCGCGUAGGAUUAGCUAGCUGGUGUGGUAAAGGCGCACCAAGGCGACGAUCCUUAGCUGGUCUGAGAGGAUGAUCAGCCACACUGGGACUGAGACACGGCCCAGACUCCUACGGGAGGCAGCAGUGGGGAAUAUUGGACAAUGGGCGAAAGCCUGAUCCAGCAAUGCCGCGUGAGUGAUGAAGGCCUUAGGGUUGUAAAGCUCUUUUACCCGGGAUGAUAAUGACAGUACCGGGAGAAUAAGCUCCGGCUAACUCCGUGCCAGCAGCCGCAGUAA